UAAGACGAAGGAUGCAAGCGUUAUCCGGAUUCAUUGGGUUUAAAGGGUGCGUAGGCGGACUUGUAAGUCAGUGGUGAAAUCUCUUCGCUUAACGAAGAAACUGCCAUUGAUACUGCAGGUCUAGAGUAUAGAUGACGUUGGCGGAAUAUGACAUGUAGUGGUGAAAUACUUAGAUAUGUCAUAGAACACCGAUUGCGAAGGCAGCUAACGAAACUAUAACUGACGCUGAGGCACGAAAGUGCGGGGAUCAAACAGGAUUAGAUACCCUGGUAGUCCGCACCGUAAACGAUGAUUACUCGUUGUUGGCGAUAUGACAGUCAGCGACCAAGCGAAAGCGAUAAGUAAUCCACCUGGGGAGUACGCCGGCAACGGUGAAACUCAAAGGAAUUGACGG
rnacentral:rRNA from 1 species